rnacentral:rRNA from 1 species
AGGACGAACGCUGGCGGCGUGCUUAACACAUGCAAGUCGAGCGGUAAGGCCCUUUCGGGGUACACGAGCGGCGAACGGGUGAGUAACACGUGGGUGACCUGCCCUUAGCUCUGGGAUAAGCCUGGGAAACUGGGUCUAAUACCGGAUAUGACCUCGCGAUGCAUGUCGUGGGGUGGAAAGCCUUGUGCGGCUAGGGAUGGGCCCGCGGCCUAUCAGCUUGUUGGUGGGGUGAUGGCCUACCAAGGCGACGACGGGUA